rnacentral:rRNA from 1 species
UUGCCAAGAAUGUUCCCGUUAAUCAARAACGAAAGUUAGAGRUUCGAAGGCGAUCAGAUACCGCCCUAGUUCUAACCAUAAACGAUGCCAGCCAGCGAUCCGCCGAAGUUCCUCCGAUGACUCGGCGGGCAGCUUCCCGGGAAACCAAAGCUUUUGGGUUCCGGGGGAAGUAUGGUUGCAAAGCUGAAACUUAAAGGAAUUGACGGAAGGGCACCACCAGGAGUGGAGCCUGCGGCUUAAUUUGACUCAACACGGGAAACCUCACCAGGCCCGGACACCGGAAGGAUUGACAGAUUGAGAGCUCUUUCUUGAUUCGGUGGGUGGUGGUGCAUGGCCGUUCUUAGUUGGUGGAGCGAUUUGUCUGGUUAAUUCCGGUAACGAACGAGACUCUAGCCUGCUAAAUAGACGAUUUCCGGUAUCCACAAUAGUGCUACCGGCGAAAUCAAUAUCUUCUUAGAGGGACAGGCGGCUUUUAGCCGCACGAAACUGAGCAAUAACAGGUCUGUGAUGCCCUUAGAUGUCCUGGGCCGCACGCGCGCUACACUGAAGGAAUCAGCGUGUACACCCUGGCCGAAAGGCCCGGGCAACCCGUUGAACCUCCUUCGUGCUAGGGAUUGGGGCUUGCAAUUGUUCCCCAUGAACGAGGAAUUCCCAGUAAGCGCGAGUCAUAAGCUCGCGUUGAU